rnacentral:tRNA from 1 species
GAUCUUCUGGCUCAGUUGGUAGAGCAUGGAGUUUGCAACGCCAGCAUGGUGCGUGCAACGCCAGGGUUUGUGGGUUCGAUUCCCACGGGGGCCA